UAGCUUGGUCUUUUUUGUUUGUGGUGCAACUUAAGACCAUCCUGACAUAUUGGCUUAUAUUGCCAUUUUUUCUGAAAGACACGUGAUCAGGUCUUAGGGUAUAGUGUUAUUAUAAUUUCAGAUUACCAAUCCCAGUCUUGGAAUUUGUAGAUUGGGUGGUUCGUGUGCAGGUACAUCAACAAGAAGUUCAGCAAUAAGUACAGCGCGACGAUCGUAGGUGCAAAUCGAUGACCGGCUCUUCACGUUACAAGUUCUUCAUUCUUUCGAUUUUCACUAGCUCAAUUUGCUGAAUUCACUCUUGACGAGCUCAUGAAAAGCGACCAUGAAAUCAGAAGGCCAUGGAGCUUUGGAAGAGCCAAAACAGAUAUGUGAUGGUGCUAGAAGGGUGGGAAUUUGAAGAUGCUACCCUCUGGAACAUGAAUUCUACAGAGGCAGAAAUAGUAAGGUCUGGUCAUGGUGAUGGCUCAAUCAUCUCCAGUGAGCCCUGCAAGGCCAUGUCAAGGACAACACAAGUAGGAACACCUGUUGGGAUCCAGUACUUUGGACAGCUUGAGGAGCAUGGUUACUGGGGCAAUGAGGUUAAACUGUACGAGUAUCAUGUCGAUGCCCUGUUUGCCAUGUUUUGGCGCAACAAGCCACACAUCAGGUACUAUGUAUGCACCAACAACAAGACAUUUCCCAGGCAAGGUCCGAGGAUGGUAACUCCAAAAAUACAUCCUUUCUUGCAUAUGCUCCCUCCGCUUCAAGGUCACCGCAAAUCGCUGCCUUGCUCU